GACGAACGCUGGCGGCGUGCCUAAUACAUGCAAGUAGAACGCUGAAGGAGGAGCUUGCUUCUCUGGAUGAGUUGCGAACGGGUGAGUAACGCGUAGGUAACCUGCCUGGUAGCGGGGGAUAACUAUUGGAAACGAUAGCUAAUACCGCAUAAGAGUAGAUGUUGCAUGACAUUUGCUUAAAAGGUGCAAUUGCAUCACUACCAGAUGGACCUGCGUUGUAUUAGCUAGUUGGUGGGGUAACGGCUCACCAAGGCGAAGAUACAUAGCCCACCUGGGAGGGGGAUCGGCCACCCUGGGACUGGGACACGGCCCAGACUCCUACGGGAGGCAGCAGUAGGGAAUCUUCGGCAAUGGAGGGAAGUCUGACCGAGCAACGCCGCGUGAGUGAAGAAGGUUCUCGGAUCGUAAAGCUCUGUUGUAAGAGAAGAACGAGUGUGGGAGUGGAAAGUUCACACUGUGACGGUAUCUUACCAGAAAGGGACGGCUAACUACGUG
rnacentral:rRNA from 1 species